ACGGGUGAGUAAUGCCUAGGAAUCUGCCUGGUAGUGGGGGACAACGUUUCGAAAGGAACGCUAAUACCGCAUACGUCCUACGGGAGAAAGCAGGGGACCUUCGGGCCUUGCGCUAUCAGAUGAGCCUAGGUCGGAUUAGCUAGUUGGUGAGGUAAUGGCUCACCAAGGCGACGAUCCGUAACUGGUCUGAGAGGAUGAUCAGUCACACUGGAACUGAGACACGGUCCAGACUCCUACGGGAGGCAGCAGUGGGGAAUAUUGGACAAUGGGCGAAAGCCUGAUCCAGCCAUGCCGCGUGUGUGAAGAAGGUCUUCGGAUUGUAAAGCACUUUAAGUUGGGAGGAAGGGUUGUAGAUUAAUACUCUGCAAUUUUGACGUUACCGACAGAAUAAGCACCGGCUAACUCUGUGCCAGCAGCCGCGGUAAUACAGAGGGUGCAAGCGUUAAUCGGAAUUACUGGGCGUAAAGCGCGCGUAGGUGGUUUGUUAAGUUGGAUGUGAAAUCCCCGGGCUCAACCUGGGAACUGCAUCCAAAACUGGCAAGCUAGAGUAUGGUAGAGGGUGGGUGGGAAUUUCCUGUGUAGCGGUG
rnacentral:rRNA from 1 species